GAUGAACGCUGGCGGCGUGCUUAAUACAUGCAAGUCGAACGGAGAGUCUUGUAGUAAUACGAGGCUUCUCAGUGGCGAACGGGCGAGUAACGAGUUGGUGACCUGCCCCGAAGUGUGGGAUAACAGUCCGAAAGGAUUGCUAAUACCGCAUGUGAUCAUGGGAUCUAGAAACCUAUGAUUAAAGCAGAAAUGCGCUUCGGGAGGGACCUGCUUCCCAUCAGCUAGUUGGUGAGGUAACGGCCCACCAAGGCUACGACGGGUAAGGGACCUGAGAGGGUGGUCCCUCGCAAUGGCACUGAAACACGGGCCAUACACCUACGGGAGGCAG
rnacentral:rRNA from 1 species